GGACGAACGCUGGCGGCGUGCUUAACACAUGCAAGUCGAACGGUGAGGGGACUGGUUUUGCUGGUCCUGGAUGAGUGGCGAACGGGUGAGUAACACGUGAGUAACCUGCCCCCUUCUUCUGGAUAACCGCAUGAAAGUGUGGCUAAUACGGGAUAUUCUGGGUCUGUCGCAUGGUGGGCCUGGGAAAGAUUGCGCCUUUUUUGGUGUUUUUGGUGGGGGAUGGGCUCGCGGCCUAUCAGCUUGUUGGUGGGGUGAUGGCCUACCAAGGCGGUGACGGGUAGCCGGCCUGAGAGGGUGGACGGUCACACUGGGACAGAGACACGGCCCAGACUCCUACGGGAGGCAGCAGUGGGGAAUAUGGCACAAUGGGCGCAAGCCUGAUGCAGCGACGCCGCGUGAGGGAUGGAGGCCUUCGGGUUGUGAACCUCUUUCGCCAGGGAAGCAGGCCUGCCUCUUUUUGUGGGUGGGUUGACGGUAGCUGGAUAAGAAGCGCCGGCUAACUACGUG
rnacentral:rRNA from 1 species